rnacentral:ncRNA from 1 species
UCAGACACGUUGAAAAGGACAGUCUUUGUUGAGCAAUCUCUGCAGCGAGCGGGAAGCGGUGUGAGCCCGUGAGGUGUAACAAAGAAAAUCACCUUGGAGUGAAGGGCUGAAAGUUUUAGUAAGCUUUAUUCGGUUUGUCUCCGUUAACGACUUCCGAGUGGCAUAAUAUGGCUACAAGGGUGGUACCGCGAGUAGAUCUCGUCCCUUAU